CAGACGGUCAGCAUCGGUUUUACCAGCCUUUUCUGAAUAAAUUUCCUGUUCUGAGUUCUGUGUGAAACAAAGAGCAGAUCAAUGCUGUGAGAACAGCAGCGAACUGUGACUUCCUGUCUUUUGUUCCCCAGAUAACGACUGGUCAGCGAUGCUAAUAGGUGUUAAUUCUUCUUCUGGUCUUCCAGCUGUGGCAUCACAGGAAGGCGACAGUCACCAGAACAAAAGCUGCAGCUCAGCUUUUUCUUUCCCACCAGCAGCUCUGACGGUGACAAACAUCUUUGCUGUGAAGUGAAAAUACCGAAGUUUCUAAUCUCCGAGAAACAUCUGGAGCGUUACAUCUCCUUCGCUCCCACUGCUCCCAAACCUCCCAGUAUUGAACCAGAUAAAUGGAAUUGUUGCAUGUCUCACAAAUUCUCCUGGUGAUUAUCUAAGCAUCUAAAUAAGGUAUUUUAUGACAGCAACGAUGAUGUCAAAAUGUGCCGUUUCCCUGAAAAAAGAAUAGUCUAUUGUUCACAGCCAGAGAGAAGGAACAAUUAGAAGGAAAACAGCUGGACCAGGUCUCCAGGACCAGUCUAGAAAGUCCGGAGGUGUCAGUGACCGAAGGCCUUCAAUGACCACCGUGGUGCCUUCAAUGACCCUCGUGGUGUAUUCAAACACAGAUUUGUAGAGGAAAGUUUUUUAGGAAUAUUGUCCCCCCCACCCCCCUCAACUUGGAUUAUGUGGGAAUAAUCUUGGCAGGAAAAGGAGACCCCCCCACCACCACCAUUGCUCCUCCUCCUCAUUUCUCUUUCUUUCUUUUUUUCUUUCUUUCUCUCCAAGUUCAUUCCCAGCUCAGUCAUUGAGGGCAUCACACCUCCUCUCUGCCCUUCUUUCAUCCAUCCAUUCCCUUUCUCAUCAUGUCUUCUCUCACUUUUCUGUCUGUUUAUCUAAGCGGAAUCUCACUGUUCCUGCAACUGACUGCUGGUUUCCAGCUUCAGAGUGAAGACGUCACUCCCACUCCCGACUAUGACUCUGACUACAAGGCCACCUUUGAUUACAGCUUCUUCAGUCAGUCUCACACACACACACACACACACACACACACACACACACACACACACACACACACACACACACACAGACACGGAUGUCCUACAGCUUACUUACAGGUGUGUCUUAAGGUAACGCCAGCAGUGAAGACUUGGACAAGUUCAGUGAACAAUUUGAGGACAUCACCGUUACCAUGGCAACCACUCCAGAAACAACAGAAAGGGGCAGGAUUAAUGUUCACAAUGCUGCACCACAUCCAGAGUUUCUGGUAAGUGCACACAAGCUCAGUUAAGCUGAGCUAAAUUUAGUCCAGUGUGGAGUUAAAGGGGUUUUAUUUCCAGUUUGUAUUGAGUCUGUUGUGUAAAUUGUGUCUGCAGGAGGUCCGAACGCUUCUCUGGACUCUCUUGGUGCUGAUCACACAACAGCUGCAACACACACUCUAGGAGCAGCACCGGGUCAGCGGGUCAGGAGAAUUUAGGAGGAGUCAUCUUAAGGAAGCUUCUCUCUGAUUGGCUCCUUUCUCUUUUUUGUUUGAUCCUGAACCAAUCAGUGAGGCUCACCUGUUCCGAAGUGGGCGGGGCCACCGGCAGGUGUCCAGCUGGACAAGCCACACAGCUUCACGCGCAGCACAGUUCACCACGGCAACGUUUGGCACUGAAUCACUUUUUCUUCUAACCAAUCAGUUUCUGCCUCCUCUGGAUUAGUGGAUCUGGUGGAUUAACAUGGACGCUCAUUCACGCUAAAGAAAAGUUAGAGAGAAAAGAAAAGGAAGUAUUUUCAUGUGUAUGAAAUAAAUCUGAUCUUUGCACAUGAAUCUGACCUGAAAUCAGAAAUCUGUGAGAAGGCAGCGCUGUUUAUUACACACAAGCUGAUCUUUUAUUACCUUUACUCCAGUAAAUUAGCUUGGAUUCAGCUCUGUAGUUAACUUAUUUGUAAAAGCGUAUUGUUACACUUCUGUUCGACAUCAUAGUCAAUAAUGAAACAGUCAUAUUUAAGAGUUUCAAUCUUCGAUGUUUGAGGUUUAAACCUGUGAAAUUGCUGUUAAACUGUUCACCACUGACUCACAUGGAUGCUGCCAGUAACCGAACGUCUGAGGACCCUGGAAUAACGAUCCAUCAAUCAAUCAGCCAAUCGACUUCUGCUGCAGUUCAUCAAUAUCCAAUGAGUUUCCAGGAAAUAAUCAAACAAGCACUUUAUCUUUGCCUUUCACAAUAAAAUCUAUUAAAAGUUCUGAAUCAUUUUCUCCUUUUAACCAAUACAUUUACUUUCUCUGACCCAUUAGAACCAGUCCCCUGACCCUCUCUGACCCAGUAGAACCAGUCUCCUGACCCUCUCUGACCCAGUAGAACCAGUCCCCUGACCCUCUCUGACCCAGUAGAACCAGUCUCCUGAC
rnacentral:lncRNA from 1 species